GCUCCUCACCUAUUACUACGGAUCGUCCGGCACGUACCUGCCGGUAAUGAGGGAGUACUC
rnacentral:ncRNA from 1 species